UGGGUAAUUUGCCAUUAAGUUGGGGAUAACUUGCUGAAAGGCGAGCUAAUACCGAAUGUGGCCCGAUGGAGGCAUCUCUGUUUGGCCAAAGCUGGGGACCGCAGGGCCUGGCGCUUGAUGAUAAACCCGCGGCCUAUCAGCUAGUUAGUGAGGUAACGGCCCACCAAGGCUAUGACGGGUAGCUGGUCUGAGAGGACGACCAGCCACACUGGAACUGAGACACGGUCCAGACACCUACGGGUGGCAGCAGUCGAGAAUUUUUCACAAUGGGGGAAACCCUGAUGGAGCGACGCCGCGUGGGGGAUGAAUGGCUUCGGCCCGUAAACCCCUGUCAUUUGUGAACAAACGGUUCCGUUGAACAAACGGAACCCUGAUUGUAACGGAAGAGGAAGGGACGGCUAACUCUGUGCCAGCAGCCGCGGUAAUACAGAGGUCCCAAGCGUUGUUCGGAUUCACUGGGCGUAAAGGGUGCGUAGGUGGUCGGGUAAGUCUGAUGUGAAAUCUCGGAGCUCAACUCCGAAACUGCAUUGGAUACUAUCCGGCUGGAGGG
rnacentral:rRNA from 1 species